GCGAAUGUGGCGGAACUGGUAGACGCGCUGGAUUUAGGUUCCAGUAGGUAAUCCUGUGAGAGUUCGAGUCUCUCCAUUCGCACCA
rnacentral:tRNA from 2 species